rnacentral:rRNA from 1 species
GAUGAACGCUGGCGGCGUGCCUAAUACAUGCAAGUCGAGCGAACAGACGAGGAGCUUGCUCCUCUGACGUUAGCGGCGGACGGGUGAGUAACACGUGGAUAACCUACCUAUAAGACUGGGAUAACUUCGGGAAACCGGAGCUAAUACCGGAUAACAUGUUGAACCGCAUGGUUCAACAGUGAAAGACGGUCUUGCUGUCACUUAUAGAUGGAUCCGCGCCGCAUUAGCUAGUUGGUAAGGUAACGGCUUACCAAGGCAACGAUGCGUAGCCGACCUGAGAGGGUGAUCGGCCACACUGGAACUGAGACACGGUCCAGACUCCUACGGGAGGCAGCAGUAGGGAAUCUUCCGCAAUGGGCGAAAGCCUGACGGAGCAACGCCGCGUGAGUGAAGAAGGCCUUCGGAUCGUAAAACUCUGUUAUUAGGGAAGAACAAAUGUGUAAGUAACUAUGCACGUCUUGACGGUACCUAAUCGGAAAGCCACGGCUAACUACGUG